rnacentral:rRNA from 1 species
AAUGAACGCUGGCGGCAGGCCUAACACAUGCAAGUCGAGCGGAAGAAGCGGGCUUGGUCGUGCAUGCAGCGGCGGCGGGUUGGGUACUGCCUAGGAAUCUGCCAGGACGCGGGGGAAAACGUCCGAAUACGGGCGCUAAUACCGCAUACGUCCUGUGGUCGACAGUGGAGGAGCUUCGGACCGCACGCCAUCAGGUGAGGCUAGGUGCGAAUGCCUAGUUGGUGGCGUAAAGGCCUACCAAGGCUACGAUCCGUAACUGGUCUGAGAGGAUGAUCAGUCACACUGGAACUGAGACACAGUCCAGACUCCUACGGGAGGCAGCAGUGGGGACUAUUGCGCGAUGGGCGAAAGCCUGAUCCAGCCAUGCCGCGUGUGUGAUGAAGGUCUUCGGAUUGUAAAGCGCUUUAGGUCGUGAGGAAGGACAGUACGUUAAUCCCUUGCUGUUUUGACGUUACCAACAGAAUAAGCACCGGCUAACUUCGUG